GAUGAAGAACGCAGCGAAAUGCGAUAAGUAAUGUGAAUUGCAGAAUUCAGUGAAUCAUCGAAUCUUUGAACGCACCUUGCGCUCUUUGGUAUUCCGAAGAGCAUGCCUGUUUGAGUGUCAUGAAAAUAUCAACCUUGACUUGGGUUUUGUGCUCUAGUCUCGGCUUGGAAUUGGGUGCUUGCCGCUUUUACGAGCGGCUCACCUUAAAUGUAUUAGCUGGAUCUGUCUUUGAGACUUGGUUUGACUUGGCGUAAUAAGUAUUUCGCUAAGGACAUUCUUCGGAGUGGCCUCGUUUCUAGGACGCUUGUCCGCUUUCCAAUACAAGUUCCACCUCGUGGACAUGACUUUUUAUUAUCUGGCCUCAAAUCAGGUAGGACUACCAGCUGAACUUAAGCAUAUCAAUAAGCGGAGGA
rnacentral:misc_RNA from 1 species